CGGCUUGACAUGCUACGAAUCCUCUUGAAAGAGAGGGGUGCCCUCGGGAAUGCGGACACAGGUGGUGCAUGACUGUCGUCAGCUCGUGCCGUAAGGUGUUGGGUUAAGUCUCGCAAUGAGCACAACCCUCGUGUUUCUAUUUUGGAUCCAAGGAAGAAGAAUAAAAUCUAUAGAAGCUCCUAACUAAAAAUGCGAUUUCUAAAGAUUUUGUCUCUAGCAUGACCACUUGAGAAAAUGCGGAGGAAAGUAGGGGAAAUGGCCGAUACUACUGCAAGAAUUCCUCUUUGGUUG
rnacentral:ncRNA from 1 species